rnacentral:rRNA from 1 species
AUUGAACGCUGGCGGCAGGCCUAACACAUGCAAGUCGAGCGGAUGAGGGAAGCUUGCUUCCCGCUUUAGACGCGGACGGGUGAGUAAUGCCUAGGAAUCUGCCUAUUAGUGGGGGAUAAGGUUCCGAAAGGAACGCUAAUACCCACUAAGUCCGACGGGAGAAAGUGGGGGAUCGUCGGAUACCACGUAAUUAGAUGCGCGUGGGUCGGAUUAGCUAGUUGGUGAGGUAACGGCUCACCAAGGCGACGAUCCGUAGCUGGUCUGAGAGGAUGAUCAGCCACACUGGAACUGAGACACGGUCCAGACUCCUACGGGAGGCAGCAGUGGGGAAUAUUGGACAAUGGGCGAAAGCCUGAUCCAGCCAUGCCGCGUGUGUGAAGAAGGUCUUCGGAUUGUAAAGCACUUUAAGUUGGGAGGAAGGGUUGUAAGCUAAUAUCUUGCAGCUUUGACGUUACCAACAGAAUAAGCACCGGCUAACUCUGUGCCAGCCGCCGCCGUAA